UAUAUAAAUAUAAAUAUUGUGGCGACAGGCCAGUGGCCGGCGCACAGGAAACCAAGAUCGCUCAAUUCUAAUGGCUAAGUUCCCUACACUGGUGGAGGAUGCGGGCAUGAGCGCAGACACACCCACGUAAAUACUUAAAAGAAAAACCACACGUUAAAAUUUUUUUUUUCAAUUAUAAUUUGAGUGGAUAGACAGAUGGACACAGGGAACAUGGACCCCACGCUACAGCAUCUCAUGGAGACUAGCCUCCAGCAGCAGGCCACAACACAGCAGUUAGCCCAAAGCCUGAGAGUUGCUACCCAGGAGCUACUGGCCCUAAGAGCGGCCCCGCCAUUCCGGGACUGUGGCCGAGAAGCCCAGCACCUUCUCACCCGCCUGACCCCAGAAGAUGACAUCGAGACCUACCUCGAGACCUUCGAACGGGUCGCCCACCAAGAAGGCUGGGGCAUGGAAGCCUGACCGCGCAUCCUUGGCCCGUUGCUCUCCAGAGAAGCCAGCACCGCAUACUAUGCCCUCUCUCCAGAGGACGUGGCGGACUACGGAGAGGUAAAGAAAGAGAUCUUGGCAUGGUAUGGCAGAACUUCCUACCCAGCGGCAACGGACUUCCAUCGGUGGAGCUACCAGCCAGAGGCCCAGCCCCGUGGUCAAAUGAACACCCUCCUGCGACUCACCAAAUGGUGGCUCCGCCCUGACCAAUGCACCGCUGCCGAGGUGGCAGAAAAGGUGGCCAUGGACCGAUUCCUGAGAGCUCUGCCGUCCCCAGAGUGCUGAGCCGUGGGAAUACGUGCGCCCGGAACCCCCAAGGAGCUGCUAACUGCCCUAGAACUCGCCCUGCCCCUCUUGGAGUUCGGCCGGGAUGGGCAGCAACCUCCUAAGCCCGCCCGGAAGGGGGCCGCCACAUCGGCCCAACCGCCAGCGUGCUGCCGAAGGAAAAGAGGUCAUCCGAAAUCGCUCCGCCUACGGGACUACCCAGGAGGAGUCCAGGCCGAUGAAACUGGAUCGGGGACGCUGUAGGAGGGUCAAGACUCCGGGCCUGCCAGAGGGGGCCCCCACACUCCAGACCUGCCGAAACCAGUCCAGCGAAGGAAGGAGGCCCCAGCCCAGCUGGCCUACAUGGCCUGGGGCAAUAAGAACGCUGGCCAAAGGUAAGUCACACACACCCCCUAGCCCACUCUCUUCUGUAUUUCAACAGGUGAGCUGGCAAGGGAACUUCGGCCGGGAGCAGAAAGAGGACGACCGCCUGAAGCGGUCAGAGGAGGCCUGCUAUACCACCGAGAAGAUUGACUGGGUAACCCGUAUAGUUCAGGAGCACAUGCGAGCCGCUCAGGAAAAACAGAAAAGGAUGUACAACCGUCCCACGCAGCCUCGGGAGUUCCAAAGGGCGAUCGGGUGCUCCUAUUAGUGCCCAGUAGCUCCUGUAAGUUCCUGGCCCGGUGGCAAGGCCUGUACACAGUCCUUGAGCGAAAAGGCACAGUAAACUACCGCCUGCAACAGCAGAGGAAAAACUCUACCACGUGAAUCUGCUGAAGAAGUGGGUAGAACCGGCGCCGGUAGUAUCGGCAUAUGCGGCUCUGGACACAGAUCACGGCAAGGGAAUCACGCAGCUGGUCCACCACAAGAUCAAGACCCGUCCAGGAGUAGUGGCAAGACAGCGGCCCUACCGUGUCCCAGAGGCCCGGCCCAAGGCUGUCGAGGAAGAAGUUAGCCGAAUGCUGCAGGACCACAUCAUAGCGGAGUCCAACAGCCCCUGGUCCAGCCCCAUUGUCAUUGUGCUGAAGCCGGACGGAAGUAUGCGACUUUGUAAUGACUUCCGUAAGCUGAACCAGGUGUCCGAGUUCGACAGCUAUCCCCUUCCCGAGUGGACGACCUCGUGGAGCAACUGGGGAGGGCCCGGAUCAUAUCUACCCUGGACCCUAAACCUAACCCUAAUCCUAACGAAAGGCUACUGGCAAGUCGUGCUGGCACCGGCUACACGGGGUGCCCGCAACGUUCCAGCAGCUGAUGGACAUUGUCCUGCGACCCCACUGUAUGUUCGCGGCCGCCUACCUGGAUGACAUAGUCAUCCACUCCUCCACUUGGUCAGACUACCUGUUCCACCUGGGGGAGGUUCUGAAGGAACUCCGGAAGGCCGGGCUGACAGCCAACCCCAAGAAAUGCCACCUAGGGCUGACUGAGGCACAGUACCUGGGCUACCAUAUUGGCCGGGGUAUGCUGAAGCCACAGGCGAAGGAAAUCGAGGCAGUGAAGCACUACCCCCGACCCACAUCAAAGAAACAGCUUUUCCCCUCUCAGACCUUAUGAAGAAGGGUUAGCCGGACCGGGUGAAAUAGUCUGCGGAGGCAGAGCAGGCGUUCCAAGCCCUAAAGGAGGCCCUCACCAGCGCCUCAGUGCUUUGCAACCCAGACUUCGCCCACUUAUUCACCAUACACACAGAUGCCUCUGAGACCGGGCUGGGCGCCGUUCUCUCGCAGACCUUCGACGGAGAGGAACACCCGGUCCUCUACAUCAGUCGAAAGUUGUCCCCAGCUGAGAGGAAGUAUGCGGCCGUGGAAAGAGAGGCCCUGGCAAUAAAGUGGGCCAUCGAAGAGCUCCGAUACUACCUGGCUGGUCGGCACUUUGUCCUGGUGACAGACCACGCCCCACUGCAGUGGAUGGCCAAGGCCAAGGACACCAAUGCCAGGGUAACCCGAUGGUUCCUCUUGUUGCAGGAUUUCUCUUUCCAGGUCCAGCACCGGGCGGGGACCCACCAUGGGAAUACAGAUGGCCUCU